rnacentral:rRNA from 1 species
CAGUCGCCGCGGUAAUACGAAGGGUGCAAGCGUUAAUCGGAAUUACUGGGCGUAAAGCGUGCGUAGGCGGUUUGUUAAGUCUGCUGUGAAAUCCCCGGGCUCAACCUGGGAAUGGCAGUGGAUACUGGCAAGCUAGAGUGUGUCAGAGGAUGGUGGAAUUCCCGGUGUAGCGGUGAAAUGCGUAGAGAUCGGGAGGAACAUCAGUGGCGAAGGCGGCCAUCUGGGACAACACUGACGCUGAAGCACGAAAGCGUGGGGAGCAAACAGGAUUAGAUACCCGUGUAGUCCCUGUCUCUUAUAC